GUCAUUUUCUGUCCCAAAACCUUGAACUGACCUUUGCUCCACUGGGGCCGGCAGGUCCAGCAGCACCCUGGUCACCAGGGGAACCCUAUAGGAGGGGGAGGGGCAGACAAAAACUUCAGAGAAACAGAUUUCCCUGUGAGAUUCUCACCUUGAUCCCAGUAGCUCCAUCUCUGCCAGGAGGUCCAUCGGAUCCAGGGGUGCCCUGUGAUGUCACAGAUGAUUAGGAUGGGAAAAGGUGAGUCACCUGGCCCAGGUUCCAGCGACCCUGCUCACCUCUCUGCCAGGUUCCCCUGAUGGUCCAGUCAGGCCAGGGGGCCCCACAGGCCCAGGGGGUCCUCGGUCGCCCGCCCCACCUGGACCUCCCUGUUUGCCUGGUUCACCCUGUGGAGAGAGAGAGAGUGAGAGAAAGAGAGCAAUUAUCAGAGUGGCCACCGGGGGCAACACCAAAGCCUUC